rnacentral:rRNA from 1 species
AAAUUGAAGAGUUUGAUCAUGGCUCAGAUUGAACGCUGGCGGCAGGCCUAACACAUGCAAGUCGAGCGGUAGCACAGAGAGCUUGCUCUCGGGUGACGAGCGGCGGACGGGUGAGUAAUGUCUGGGAAACUGCCUGAUGGAGGGGGAUAACUACUGGAAACGGUAGCUAAUACCGCAUAAUGUCGCAAGACCAAAGUGGGGGACCUUCGGGCCUCAUGCCAUCAGAUGUGCCCAGAUGGGAUUAGCUAGUAGGUGGGGUAACGGCUCACCUAGGCGACGAUCCCUAGCUGGUCUGAGAGGAUGACCAGCCACACUGGAACUGAGACACGGUCCAGACUCCUACGGGAGGCAGCAGUGGGGAAUAUUGCACAAUGGGCGCAAGCCUGAUGCAGCCAUGCCGCGUGUGUGAAGAAGGCCUUCGGGUUGUAAAGCACUUUCAGCGGGGAGGAAGGCGUUAAGGUUAAUAACCUUAGCGAUUGACGUUACCCGCAGAAGAAGCACCGGCUAACUCCGUGCCAGCAGCCGCGGUAAUACGGAGGGUGCAAGCGUUAAUCGGAAUUACUGGGCGUAAAGCGCACGCAGGCGGUCUGUCAAGUCGGAUGUGAAAUCCCCGGGCUCAACCUGGGAACUGCAUUCGAAACUGGCAGGCUAGAGUCUUGUAGAGGGGGGUAGAAUUCCAGGUGUAGCGGUGAAAUGCGUAGAGAUCUGGAGGAAUACCGGUGGCGAAGGCGGCCCCCUGGACAAAGACUGACGCUCAGGUGCGAAAGCGUGGGGAGCAAACAGGAUUAGAUACCCUGGUAGUCCACGCCGUAAACGAUGUCGAUUUGGAGGUUGUGCCCUUGAGGCGUGGCUUCCGGAGCUAACGCGUUAAAUCGACCGCCUGGGGAGUACGGCCGCAAGGUUAAAACUCAAAUGAAUUGACGGGGGCCCGCACAAGCGGUGGAGCAUGUGGUUUAAUUCGAUGCAACGCGAAGAACCUUACCUGGUCUUGACAUCCACAGAACUUUCCAGAGAUGGAUUGGUGCCUUCGGGAACUGUGAGACAGGUGCUGCAUGGCUGUCGUCAGCUCGUGUUGUGAAAUGUUGGGUUAAGUCCCGCAACGAGCGCAACCCUUAUCCUUUGUUGCCAGCGGUUCGGCCGGGAACUCAAAGGAGACUGCCAGUGAUAAACUGGAGGAAGGUGGGGAUGACGUCAAGUCAUCAUGGCCCUUACGACCAGGGCUACACACGUGCUACAAUGGCAUAUACAAAGAGAAGCGACCUCGCGAGAGCAAGCGGACCUCAUAAAGUAUGUCGUAGUCCGGAUUGGAGUCUGCAACUCGACUCCAUGAAGUCGGAAUCGCUAGUAAUCGUAGAUCAGAAUGCUACGGUGAAUACGUUCCCGGGCCUUGUACACACCGCCCGUCACACCAUGGGAGUGGGUUGCAAAAGAAGUAGGUAGCUUAACCUUCGGGAGGGCGCUUACCACUUUGUGAUUCAUGACUGGGGUGAAGUCGUAACAAGGUAACCGUAGGGGAACCUGCGGUUGGAUCACCUCCUUACCUUAAAGAA